GCGAGUGUAGCUCAAUUGGCAGAGCACCGGUCUCCAAAACCGGGGGUUGGGGGUUCGAUUCCCUCCACUCGUG
rnacentral:tRNA from 1 species